UUGACGGGCCCGCACAAGCAGCGGAGCGUGUGGUUUAAUUCGAUGUUACACGAAGAACCUUACCAGGGUUUGACAUGCAAGUGGUAGGAAGCCGAAAGGUGACCGACCCUUCGGGGAGCUUGCACAGGUGCUGCAUGGCUGUCGUCAGCUCGUGUCGUGAGAUGUUCGGUUAAGUCCGCUAACGAGCGCAACCCUCGCUGUGUGUUAUAUGUGUCACACGGGACUGCCGGUCUUAAGCCGGAGGAAGGUGGGGAUGAUGUCAAGUCAGCAUGGCCUUUAUAUCCUGGGCUACACACACGCUACAAUGGCCAACACAAUAGGUUGCUAAGCCGCGAGGUGGCGCCAAUCCAUAAAGUUGGUCUCAGUUCAGAUUGUAGGCUGCAACCCGCCUGCAUGAAGAUGGAGUUGCUAGUAACCGCAGGUCAGCUAUACUGCGGUGAAUACGUUCCCGGGGCUU
rnacentral:rRNA from 1 species